GAUACCAGUAUGCAUGAUUUGGAUGAAAAGCAAGAAGAUUCUGAACAAAAGAGCUGUCCAUCUCAAGAUUGUGAUUCCAAGGCAGCUGGAAUGUCCACUGACAAGGAGUAUGAGUAGGACACAAUCAUUGAUUCCAUUGGAG